GCAGGGGUUGCCGAGCUUGGACAAAGGCGCAGGCUUGAGGGGUCUGUCUCGUAGGAGUUCGAGGGUUCAAAUCCCUCCCCCUGCA
rnacentral:tRNA from 1 species